rnacentral:rRNA from 1 species
CGAGUUUGAUCCUGGCUCAGAUUGAACGCUGGCGGAAUGCUUUACACAUGCAGGUCGAGCGGCAGCGCGGGGGCAACCCUGGCGGCGAGCGGCGAACGGGUGAGUAACAUAUCGGAACGUACCCAGUCGUGGGGGAUAACUAUCCGAAAGGAUAGCUAAUACCGCAUACGACCUGAGGGUGAAAGCGGGGGAUCGCAAGACCUCGCGCGAUUGGAGCGGCCGAUAUCGGAUUAGCUAGUUGGUGAGGUAAAGGCUCACCAAGGCGACGAUCCGUAGCGGGUCUGAGAGGACGACCCGCCACACUGGAACUGAGACACGGUCCAGACUCCUACGGGAGGCAGCAGUGGGGAAUUUUGGACAAUGGGGGCAACCCUGAUCCAGCCAUUCCGCGUGAGUGAAGAAGGCCUUCGGUUGUAAGCUCUUCUAGCAGGAACGAACGGUAGAUCCCUAAUACGGGUUACGUAAUAGACGGUACCGUGAAGAAGAAGACACCGGUCAACUACGUAG